ACUCCUACGGGAGGCAGCAGUAGGGAAUAUUGGACAAUGGGCGAAAGCCUGAUCCAGCCAUGCCGCGUGAGUGAUGAAGGCCUUCGGGUUGUAAAGCUCUUUUGGCGGGGACGAUAAUGACGGUACCCGCAGAAUAAGCCCCGGCUAACUUCGUGCCAGCAGCCGCGGUAAU
rnacentral:rRNA from 1 species